rnacentral:rRNA from 1 species
GACGAACGCUGGCGGCGUGCUUAACACAUGCAAGUCGAACGGAAAGGCCCUGCUUUUGUGGGGUGCUCGAGUGGCGAACGGGUGAGUAACACGUGAGUAACCUGCCCUUGACUUUGGGAUAACUUCAGGAAACUGGGGCUAAUACCGGAUUGGAGCUCCUGCUGCAUGGUGGGGGUUGGAAAGUUUCGGCGGUUGGGGAUGGACUCGCGGCUUAUCAGCUUGUUGGUGGGGUAGUGGCUUACCAAGGCUUUGACGGGUAGCCGGCCUGAGAGGGUGACCGGCCACAUUGGGACUGAGAUACGGCCCAGACUCCUACGGGAGGCAGCAGUGGGGAAUAUUGCACAAUGGGCGGAAGCCUGAUGCAGCAACGCCGCGUGCGGGAUGACGGCCUUCGGGUUGUAAACCGCUUUCGCCUGUGACGAAGCGUGAGUGACGGUAAUGGGUAAAGAAGCACCGGCUAACUACGU